rnacentral:misc_RNA from 1 species
GAAAUGCGAUAAGUAAUGUGAAUUGCAGAAUUCCGUGAAUCAUCGAAUCUUUGAACGCACAUUGCGCCCUCUGGUAUUCCGGGGGGCAUGCCUGUCCGAGCGUCAUUGCGAACCCCUCAAGCACGGCUUGUGUGAUGGGCCCUCCCGCGUCUUGGUCGUCAAGACGGGCCCGAAAUGCAGUGGCGGCUUCGCGGUUAUCCGAUCAGCCAGAGCGUAUGGGGACUUUCUCUCUGUCACACGCCCGCGACGCGGACCGACGCCUGUCGACCUUCAUUCAUCGUUUUCUCGGUUGACCUCGGAUCAGGUAGGGAUACCCGCUGAACUUAAGC